AGGUUCCAAAUUUAAAACUUAAUUAUUUUAUAUUUUCAAUUAAAUUGAAAUGAAAAUUGGAAAUGGCAAUUAGAACAUCUAGAAUUUUGAGAAAAGGUUUUGUUAAAGGAGAAGAGAGUGACCAAGGGUGAGGAGUGGGAGGUGUUUGUGAGAGAGAAUUAAUUCAAAGCUGGAUUGAGCCGUUGAUUUAUUGGAUCAUUUCCAUUUCAGAGCGAGUAAAAUGGAAAUCAGAAU
rnacentral:lncRNA from 1 species